AAUUUCAAUGAACUCAAAAUCACAUACUCUCUCUCUCUCUAAAUUAUACGCAAGAGAAAAUAGAGAGAACUACGCAUUAAUAAGUUUUAUCUCACAUUUUCGGUUCUGUUUUUUUUUUUGGGAACUAAGUUUGUAGCUUAGUUUAUAACAUUGGUAAAAAAGAGAGUAAUUGCACGCUUUGUCUAUGUUUCAAACAUUAUUUAGGUGGAUGGUCAUAGCAAAGAAACAAAUUGUAUUGUUUCUGUUUUAAGCCAAGAUUACCCCUGUAACGAUCUCUUUGACAUCUGGUUUUGUUUUUUUUUUGUUCUUUUUUUCUUUUUUUCUUACUCUAUUAUUUAUAAACCGACAUGGGAUUAAGAGGGAUUGAACGCAAGUUAUGUUUCAACUAUCCUGUAUCAUAUCCUUUAAUGUGUAAUCUUUUAUGUAUGAAUAGUUAAGUUAUCCGUAUAAAGUAUUAUAGUGCUCAUAUAAAAAAAAUUAGAGUUUUAAAUUUCUAUUUGGGUUUAGGGUUUAUAGUUUAGAAUAGGGGGUGUCAAAAUGAGCUACAGCUCAUGAGCUGGUUCAGAUCGGCUUGUUUUUCCAUGAGCAAAAUCUCUAUAUUUUAAGUUCAUUUAAUAAAUGAGUUUAAUGAUCGAGCUUAAAUUAGAUCACGAGUUAUAUGAACAAUUUUUAAUGAACAAGAGCUGGUUCACGAGCAAGUUCAUUUUUAUACUUACAAUUAUAUAUAGUAUAUUAUAUUUGGAUAAC
rnacentral:lncRNA from 1 species